rnacentral:rRNA from 1 species
UACGAAGGGGGCUAGCGUUGCUCGGAUUUACUGGGCGUAAAGCGCACGUAGGCGGAUCGUUAAGUCGGGGGUGAAAUCCUGGAGCUCAACUCCAGAACUGCCUUCGAUACUGGCGAUCUUGAGUCCGGAAGAGGUGAGUGGAAUUCCUAGUGUAGAGGUGGAAUUCGUAGAUAUUAGGAAGAACACCAGUGGCGAAGGCGGCUCACUGGUCCGGUACUGACGCUGAGGUGCGAAAGCGUGGGGAGCAAACAGG